rnacentral:rRNA from 1 species
AUUGAACGCUGGCGGCAUGCUUUACACAUGCAAGUCGAGCGGCAGCACGGGGGUUACUCUGGUGGCGAGCGGCGGACGGGUGAGUAAUACAUAGGAACAUGCCCAGUCGUGGGGGAUAACACCUCGAAAGAGGUGCUAAUACCGCAUACGUCCUGAGGGAGAAAGCGGGGGAUCGCAAGACCUCGCGCGAUUGGAGUGGCCGAUGUCAGAUUAGCUAGUUGGUGGGGUAAAGGCCUACCAAGGCAACGAUCUGUAGCUGGUCUGAGAGGAUGAUCAGCCACACUGGGACUGAGACACGGCCCAGACUCCUACGGGAGGCAGCAGUGGGGAAUAUUGGACAAUGGGCGCAAGCCUGAUCCAGCCAUGCCGCGUGAGUGAAGAAGGUCUUCGGAUUGUAAAGCACUUUAGGCAGGAAGGAAGCGGAGUACGCUAACAUAGCGCUGUAAUGACGGUACCUGAAGAAGAAGCACCGGCUAACUACGUG